UCCGGAGUAGCUCAAUUGGCAGAGCGGGUGGCUGUUAACUACUAGGCUGGGGGUUCAAGUCCCUCCUCCGGAGC
rnacentral:tRNA from 1 species